rnacentral:lncRNA from 1 species
UAGAUGUUACCCUCUUUUAGCCAUUCAUUGAAACUGAAGCGUGUGAUGGGAAUUUGUGCUUUGCCUUUUUAAAACUUGCAAAUUCAAGUGCAUGUUAUUUAGACUCCAGCUUACGAUGGGAAAAUAAAGCUCUGACGGGGAAAGUCACUACUGGUGGCAGACAUGCUGAACAGGACAUACCUUCCUGAGCACAACACAGAUGGCACUGCAGAACAAGAGAGAAAGUCUAUCAGCAUGCUACAUUACCUUCGCAUCUGGGAAGCUCCAGGCAAUCCAGCAAGGCACUGAAGAGGAUCGGGUGCUGCAGGCAGGAAAACUGCGUAAUCCGAGGAUAGCCAGAGAAAAUGACACAGGAAGGAUAGGGAGGAGAACAGCGCGAUAUAAACUUCUGGAAGCUUCACAAUUCCACUCUUCUAGUAGAAUUCAUUGUAGAUACCUUCCUGCCUAUCUGGCAUGA